CACGUAGGGGCCAAGCGUUGUCCGGAGUUACUGGGCGUAAAGGGCGCGUAGGUGGCCCUGUUAGUCAGACGUGAAAUCCCAGGCUUAACUUGGGAACUGCGUCUGAUACUGCAGGGGCUCGAGUUCGGGAGAGGGAUGUGGAAUUCCAGGUGUAGCGGUGAAAUGCGUAGAUAUCUGGAGGAACACCGGUGGCGAAGGCGGCAUCCUGGACCGAAACUGACACUGAGGCGCGAAAGCUAGGGGAGCAAACGGGAUUAGAUACCCUUGUAGU
rnacentral:rRNA from 1 species